AUCUUGGAAUGCUACAUGUAAGCCUUUGAAAUGUAUAUAGGACAACGUUUCAUCAUGCAAUAGUUAACUUUUUAUCUUCAUAUUGUAUUUAAUCUGCACAGCUGUACUUCCGUUCUUUUGUAAAUAUGAUACACUGGUCAACUAAAACAACAAAGAAACAAAAUGGCUGUGAAUGCAUCUUAUGUGAAUGAGUUCUCCUCUAUUAUAAAAACCAUUAUAAAAUAAUAAAAACAAUAUAAAACUUUACCCUUAACACAGACCCUUGACCCCACGUGACGUCAUAUGACACCCGAGAAUAGUCUUGUUUCCAUCCAACCACACCUGUCAUACUUUGGAUUUCUCAUUAUGUUAUUUUUCGCAUUUUGUUUUGUAUUUUAAUGUGUUUUUUAAAACCGACUGGUGGUACUUGUUUUUCAGUAAAAUAGAAAACAUGCUUGGGAUUUCAAAAUUUCACAAAUUGCACUCAGCUAUAUUAUUCAUAGUACAUAACCUGCGAGGUGGCAUAUUUUGGGUACAAUCUCAAAUACGAAAAGAAAGCCGCACAUGAUUUCAAAAUCCCCGCAGUGAUUCAUGGUAUCAUAAAUAAUCUAAUAAACGCCCACAUUCUGAAAAUAUUUAGUAGACAUCCCAGUCAAGCCAGAAUUUUAACAGACGCUCAUCUCUAUUAACAUUCGUGGCGUAUUGUUGAAGAGCCUGGGGGGGGGGGCUGGGAACACCCCCUGAAACAUUUUGAAAUCUAGAGUCCUUGAAGUAGUGAUACAAACUCUACUACAAAGACAUGAUAAUAGGCAAUUACCAUAGGCAGCUGAACAUUAAGGGACUGAAGCCAACGACUUAACAACUUAACGACUUAACAACGACUUUUCCAGAUACAGCCAUGUUUCCCCAAUGAUCAACAAUUUAGGAUGUGGCACACUUGAACGGCGUAGACUGCUUAACCAGUCGUGUAUGUUCUAUAAGAUCCACCAAGGCCGCGUUGAUUAGUUAAACUUCCCCCCUGAAGUGUUGCCCUAUAAAAAGAAAAAAACGACUUCCAAAUCAUUAUCCCUUUCAGCAAGUUUCUUGUAACAAUGAUAUUUUCAAAUUUUUCCCAAGAGCCAU